AAUAAGCGGAGGAAAAGAAAACUAACAAGGAUUCCCCUAGUAGCGGCGAGCGAAGCGGGAAGAGCUCAAAUUUAUAAUCUGGCACCUUCGGUGUCCGAGUUGUAAUCUCUAGAAGUGUUUUCCGCGUUGGACCGCACACAAGUCUGUUGGAAUACAGCGGCAUAGUGGUGAAACCCCCGUAUAUGGUGCGGACGCCCAGCGCUUUGUGAUACACUUUCAAUGAGUCGAGUUGUUUGGGAAUGCAGCUCAAAUUGGGUGGUAAAUUCCAUCUAAAGCUAAAUAUUGGCGAGAGACCGAUAGCGAACAAGUACCGUGAGGGAAAGAUGAAAAGCACUUUGGAAAGAGAGUUAACAGUACGUGAAAUUGUUGGAAGGGAAACGCUUGAAGUCAGACUUGCUUGCCGGAGCUUGCUUCGGUUUGCAGGCCAGCAUCAGUUUUCCGGGGUGGAUAAUAACGGUUUGAAGGUAGCAGUCUCGGCUGUGUUAUAGCUUUCCGUUGGAUACAUCCUGGGGGACUGAGGAACGCAGCGUGCUUUUUGCGAAAGACUCGUCUUUUUCACGCUUAGGAUGCGGGUGGAA
rnacentral:rRNA from 1 species